GAUAAUAUUUCCUUCAUUAUUUCUGUCAGUGUUUAUUUCUUUGCUUAAUGACACCAUACUUAAUUUUAGUGGGCAUGAUUUAAUAUUUUUGUUUCUAUUUAUGAUUUUUUAUAAAUGGGGUUUCCCACUAAUUUGAAAUAUGUUAUUACUAAUAACAUACAGUUGUAAUGAACCUCCGUAUGAAUACCGUGAACCACUGAGUACCAUGAACCUCUGAAUAUAAGCCCUGGCUUAUAUUCGUUUGUAAGAGUUUUUGUUGGGCUAAUACUCAGGGGAGCUCGUAAAUGGGCUUAUAUAUAUGGACAACAGUUUGUGUUAGUGUAAUAGUGAUAAACAAUAGUGAUAAACAAGUAUAGUAAUAUUGAUAAAUAAUGAUAUGAUAAAUAUAAGUGGC